AUUGAACGCUGGCGGCAGGCCUAACACGUGCAAGUCGAGCGGGGUUUUCGGACCUAGCGGCGGACGGGUGAGUAAUGCGUAGGAAGCUGCCCGAUAGAGGGGGAUACCAGUUGGAAACGACUGUUAAUACCGCAUAAUGUCUACGGACCAAAGUGUGGGACCUUCGGGCCACAUGCUAUCGGAUGCGCCUACGUGGGAUUAGCUAGUUGGUGAGGUAAUGGCUCACCAAGGCGACGAUCUCUAGCUGGUUUGAGAGGAUGAUCAGCCACACUGGAACUGAGACACGGUCCAGACUCCUACGGGAGGCAGCAGUGGGGAAUAUUGGACAAUGGGCGCAAGCCUGAUCCAGCCAUGCCGCGUGUGUGAAGAAGGCCUUCGGGUUGUAAAGCACUUUCAGCGAGGAGGAAGGGUUAGUCGUUAAUAGCGGCUAAUUUUGACGUUACUCGCAGAAGAAGCACCGGCUAACUCUGUGCCAGCCGCCGCAGUAAUAC
rnacentral:rRNA from 1 species